UACGUAGGAUGCAAGCGUUGUCCGGAAUUAUUGGGCGUAAAGAGCGCGCAGGCGGUGUAUCAAGUCAGAUGUGAAAGAGGCCGGCUUAACCGGCAAGGGUCAUUUGAAACUGAUAGACUAGAGUGCAGCAGAGGAUAGUGGAAUUCCCGGUGUAGUGGUGAAAUGCGUAGAUAUCGGGAGGAACACCAGUGGCGAAGGCGGCGUCCUGGCCUGCGACUGACGCUGUGGCGCGAAAGCUAGGGGAGCGAACGGG
rnacentral:rRNA from 1 species